CCUACGGGAGGCAGCAGUGGGGAAUAUUGCACAAUGGGGGAAACCCUGAUGCAGCGACGCCGCGUGAGUGAAGAAGUAAUUCGUUAUGUAAAGCUCUAUCAGCAGGGAAGAAAAUGACGGUACCUGAGUAAGAAGCCCCGGCUAACUACGUGCCAGCAGCCGCGGUAAUACGUAGGGGGCAAGCGUUAUCCGGAUUUACUGGGUGUAAAGGGAGCGUAGACGGCAGUGCAAGUCUGGAGUGAAAGGCGGGGGCUCAACCCCCGGACUGCUCUGGAAACUGUACGGCUGGAGUGCAGGAGAGGGAAGUGGAAUUCCUAGUGUAGCGGUGGAAUGCGUAGGUAUUAGGAGGGACACCCGUGGCGAAGGCGGCUUACUGGACUGUAACUGACGUUGAGGCUCGAAAGCGUGGGGAGCAAACAGGAUUAGAUACCCGUGUAGUC
rnacentral:rRNA from 1 species